AUGCUACCUCGCCUCCUUCUUCUCUUCCUCGUGCGCCAGCGGCCAUGGCUGCUCGUCAUCAAGCUCGCCUUCGUCUCCCUGGCGGCCGACUACCUCGACCUCCUUUGCAAGCUACAGCCGCCCCGCGCCAAGUCCCUCUCCGACGUCCUCUGUUCGGGAACGAGCACGACGCUCGCCGUUUCCCUUUGUGUGUCCCGUGCACCUGGAAAUCGAGCAGCAAUGCUCGUCCUCGAGAGCGUUGACCAGCCGCCUUCGCCAGCUCCUUCGGCCUCACCUCGUGGCCCAAAUCUGCACAGCCACGCAUGA
rnacentral:rRNA from 1 species